rnacentral:rRNA from 1 species
AUGGCGAGGUUGCGUCGCGUGCGGCCGCGCAGGCCCAGCGAAGAGGACCGCCUCAGCGCGCUUCCUGACAGGCUGAUCCGCCGCAUACUGAGCAAGCUGGACACCCGCAGCGCGCUCUCCACGGCCGUCCUCGCCAGGCGCUGGGCACGCGUCCCCCGCGACCUUCCGGCGUACCACUUCAGGGUCAGCGACGUACUCCCGCCGCAGUACGACCGGACCGUCGCACUCCGCCGUCGCAACCUGCCGCGCGAAGCGGCCCUGGCCAGGGUCCUCGACGGCCUCAUGGCCAGCUGCGAGGUCUCCUCCGCGCGAGCGUUCGUGGACGGCAUCACCGGCUUCUUGGACGCGGACGGCGGCAAAGCACGCCGGUGCGUCGACACCCUCCAUCUCGAGUUCUUCCAGACCAACGAUGGCGGAGGCAUAGUAGACCGCCUCAUCGCCGACGCGGUAGUCGCGUGGGGAGUGGAAGAUCUGGAGGUGGUCGUCAGACCAGCGUCCCAUGCGCCCGCGCCGGCCUACUGCUUCCCCCACGGCCGGCUCAAGGACGGCGGCAUGUCGCGCCUCCGCAGCCUGACACUAGGCAACUGCAUGGUCCCGCCGAAGCUGGACUGCUACGACGCGCUCACCACGCUGGUCCUGCGAGACAUGCCCGCUUCCACCCCCGUCGGCGUGUACGAGAGGGUGUUGAGCGAGUGCAAGCGGCUGCAGGUGCUGCACCUCACCUCCUGCCGCUGCGCCGAGGACCAUCUGGUGGUGUGCUCAGGCAUCAGGGAGCUCGUUGUGGACGCUUGCUCCUUCAUGGUGAUCGAGCUGCGGGACCUCCCAAUGCUUGCCCGCCUGACCUGCCUAACCAACACUGUGGAGCUCGUGUUCGGCUCGGUUCCGUGCCUCACGCACACUAACCUCUCCUUCUCCGUAGAGGAGGGUACGUUGGUUCUGCCGCCCCGGCCGCACCAUCACGAUGAGCUCAACCAUUUUCUCGGUACGUCGCCAACCAUGGCGAACCUCGUCAUUCGGUUCACCGGCUCCAGGAGAUGGAUUGGAUCCGAGGAACUAGACAAGCCUUUGCUCCACCUGAAAAGGCUCCUUAUCGCCGACCUGCCUUCCAACUGGGACGUCUCAUAG